AUUUGUCACUAGAGAAUAUCAAGGCAGGUAUUAAUGCUAUGUGAUUUCUGCCCAGUGCUCUGACUGACAAAGUGAAGAAAUUCAAUGGAACGUGGGUAACCAGUGGGACUAACAUGACUCUCUUAAGGUAGCCAAAUACCUCCUCAUCUACUUAGUGGCAUGUGUGAACGGAUGAACGGGAU
rnacentral:ncRNA from 1 species